AUUGAACGCUGGCGGCAGGCCUAACACAUGCAAGUCGAGCGGAUGAAGUGAGCUUGCUCCUGGAUUCAGCGGCGGACGGGUGAGUAAUGCCUAGGAAUCUGCCUGGUAGUGGGGGAUAACGUCCGGAAACGGGCGCUAAUACCGCAUACGUCCUGAGGGAGAAAGUGGGGGAUCUUCGGACCUCACGCUAUCAGAUGAGCCUAGGUCGGAUUAGCUAGUUGGUGGGGUAAAGGCCUACCAAGGCGACGAUCCGUAACUGGUCUGAGAGGAUGAUCAGUCACCCUGGAACUGAGACACGCUCCAGACUACUACGGGAGUCAGCAGUCGGGAAUAUUGGACCAUGGGCGAAAGCCUGCUCCAGCCCUGCCGCGUGUGUGAAGAAGGUCUUCGGAUUGUAACGCACUUUCAGUUGGCAGGAAGGGCAGUAAGUUAACACCUUGCUGUUUUGACGUUCCCAACAGAAUAAGCACCGGCUACCUUCGUG
rnacentral:rRNA from 1 species